rnacentral:rRNA from 1 species
AACGAACGCUGGCGGCAGGCCUAACACAUGCAAGUCGAACGCCCCGCAAGGGGAGUGGCAGACGGGUGAGUAACACGUGGGAAUCUUCCUCGUAGUACGGAACAACUCAGGGAAACUUGAGCUAAUACCGUAUACGCCCUUCGGGGGAAAGAUUUAUCGCUAUGAGAUGAGCCCGCGUCCGAUUAGCUAGUUGGUGAGGUAAUGGCUCACCAAGGCUACGAUCGGUAGCUGGUCUGAGAGGAUGAUCAGCCACAUUGGGACUGAGACACGGCCCAAACUCCUACGGGAGGCAGCAGUGGGGAAUAUUGGACAAUGGGCGCAAGCCUGAUCCAGCCAUGCCGCGUGAGUGACGAAGGCCUUAGGGUUGUAAAGCUCUUUUGGCGGGGAAGAUAAUGACGGUACCCGCAGAAUAAGCUCCGGCUAACUUCGUGCCAGCCGCCGCAGUAA